GUGUGGAAGUAGACUGCCAUUGGCCAUGGAGGCUCCAUUGAGAUGCCAUGCCUAGCAGCGGGGUUGGAACUCCGCCUCCUCUUUUAAUGUGGGUGGGUGUCCCGCCCCAAUGAGGGCAGCGGGGUGUGGGUGUUGCGGGGGGCGCGCUUCCUCUUAUUCAAUCUAAGGCCACCCGCAGUCAAAUCACAACCCCCCCUGCAAAAGUAAAGUCCAAAUAUGAGAGGAGGAGGAAAACUUGGGCCCGCUUUCUUUCUCUGCACUGGUGCCUCUUGCUCAGCAGUCUCAGAGUGUCCCCAUUGUGGCCAAGCUGGGAAACCGCAAAGCAGCCGGAGAUCUCCUUGGCAUGCCCACUUAGCUCCUACCAAGUGCAGUCAUGGAUGCAAAUGCAGAAGGCAUUAAAAGAGGACCAACACAGCUACCUCCCUGAACCCUGGAAGAGGAUGAGGCUAGCUACUAGCAUUGAGGAGAACCAAGUUCUUCCUCUACAAAUUGAGGCAGUUUGCUUUUCACAGGAAUUACCAAGUGGUGGAGAUAAUACUGCAUUCAGACCUUGCCCUUCAGAGGCACCACACCUCUGAUCCUAGAGGUCCUAGACACAGUCAUCAUGACUAUUAGCCACCAGCAGCAAUAUGACCAGCUGCUACCAACCCCAGCAAGCAUGAUCAAUGAACAGAUCUUAUUACAGGAGAGAAGCGGCUGCAGAACAACCCGGAAUUCCAGCAGCCAACUGCCCACCAGACCUGUUAUGAAAAAGUAGAAAGUGCAUAUAUAGCCCACAAGCCUGGUGGAGGCAAUAAAAGAUGCCUUCGACUUCCAUUCAUCACUUUGUCAUCUUCAGCUACAUUCAGAUAGUGGUUAGCAGAGCUCACAACAUGGGCAAAUUAACACAUACGAGUCCCUUGCUGGCUUCCUCCUCUCAUAGCUUCCCACAGGAGAUAUAUAUUCCAUUUCCAUGGCUCCUGCCUCCUCUCCUCUUUGGUCCCCAUCGCAGAUGGAAAGAAAAAAGAAUUCUUAGGGUAUGAAAUGGGAUGGGGGUGAAGAAAGGAGAGUGUGUCAUAGGCAGCAGCAGUAGCAGCACAGCCAAGGGGCUGUACAGUUGCUAUGAAUUAUUGUGGCAAUGUGACACAGCUUUCCCCCUCCAUCAUACUGAAGCAUGGUUGCUUCUGGUACUGAGGGGCUGAGAAGUUAAGAGAUCUGCCCUAAAAGAUUUGGCAGUGCAAAGAAGACAGCUUUGCCCUCAAACCCUGCUGGUCAUAAGAUGCCUGGAGGCACCUAGGUGGCUGUUGCUGUCAGAACAGGGUAGUGGGCUAGGUGGACCUUUUGUCUCAUCCCAUACAACUGCUCUUACAUUCUUAUACCCAGAGUAUCUGUUGUGGAAGUUGCAGAGGGUGCAAUGGAAACAUAACAGCUGUCCUACCCUGCCUGCAGCAUCAACUCUGGUGCGCCACUGCUCCCAAGAGCCCCUUUCUGUUCCUUCAGGGAAGAGGACCAACCUGGAUCUUCUACUCUGUCCCUGAGCUCCAGCCCUCAGCCUCUUGCCUGGCCUUGAAUAGCUGUCUGUCAGUGGCAAUGCUGAGAAACUCAAAGCCAGUCUCCAAGAAAUCCAUGCCCCAGGUCUCUAGGGGCACAGCUGAGUUCCUGGAGAUCACACAAAUCAUCUGGGAUCUCAUCUCUUAAACUUUAAAUCCACUGCCAUAAGAUAUAAAUAGCUUGGGCACAAGCCAAUGUAAUCUACCCUUCCACUGUGGAGUGUGUAUAUACAUGGACACUAAAAAUAAACUACAACACAGAAACUGAUCCUGCUGGAUUAAGACAAAUUUGGAUUUUAAUGCCCAGCUUUGCUCAGAGUCCUAGAGUUCAAGGGUCGAUAUAGUAGAUUGCAAGAAGGGUAUAGGUUAGUCAAGCCUCAACAUUUUAUCAUAAUAAACCAGAUGUGGACAAAACACCAAGUUGAAGCCCAUAAAUCUAUUACAGUGAACUGUCAAUGUCCCCCACGGCAGGGUCAUUUGUUAAUUCAUAGCUGGGUCUCUUUUUUCAACAGACCUUGUAAACUCUUUCCUGAAACAUCAAUAAACCAUCUGCUUUGACUAGUUAAUCAAAUGACUUUAUUCAGUCCAAAGCCAUUUUUUCCUAAUAAAAACAGAGUAUUUAUCUCCACGGCUAUAAAAGAGGAUUGUUUUCAACUAUUCACUUAUAGUUAAGAAGCGCAUUUAGUCUGGAUUGAUUUCCAAUGCCUUGGUCAUAUCCUGUCACUUUCCAUUUCUUACACACAACAUCUCAGUUUAGCUACUUAGCAGCAAAAAAAACACAACCUAACUUGGGGCUGGGCACCAGUUCAGGGAGGCAGAAAAGUUCCCAUCAGGAUUAAGAGCGGCAUUCUCCUCUGGCAAGCAGUAGAAUGACAGGUGUCUCCUGCGCCUGUACAUCUUUCACAUCUGGCAUUCUGUUGCAGGGGACCCAACUCCUCUCCUGGGACUGGCUUUCUAAGGAAGGAUAUGUGCCCCAGAACUGCUCUGUAACUACAAAUUCAAUUGCAAAACAACCAAACUGCUCCCAGUUGCACUGAAGCAACCAUGCGCUUUUGGGGAUCAUAACAAGUACAUUAACUGCCCUCAUCUGUCUAGCAGAGCCCUGCCUUUGACAGUGCCAGGAAAACAGAGUCUUGGAGCCUUAUGCCAUUGGAGGCACCUGGUACAAUCCUGAGUUCAGCUGCCGUACUCACUGUGGGGCCAAUUCCUGGCCUCUCAACCCAACCAACUUGUCAGGGGUAAGUCUAAAAAAAAAAAUGGCGGGUGGGCAUUCACACAGGAAAUACAUACAAGAAUCCGGUGCCCCAGUUCUGUCCUAUCUGCCCCAGUGGGGAGCAGAGGGUGAGGAAGGCAAAGUCAUUUAUAUAAUGUGCCUCUCUGCUGUGUUUCUAAUGGCCAGAGCUUUUGUUCUGCUGUUGCUGGCUGCCCAUGACAGGCAGGAAGCCACAGCCUCCCUUUAUGCCAUUGCCUUAUUCAGCAAUUUACAUCCAGCAUAAAAAUCAAAUAUGCAUGUUGCUAUUGCCUCACCAACAGCAGUUUCAAAUUUUGCCUUGCUGUAUUCUAAAUGGGGGGUGGGUGGGGCACAGAUGGGCAGAGUCACUUUGCUAGGCCUGAAACUUGAAUUUCUGUCUGCUUUAUUGCUAAGUGGCUGGAUGGGAAUGGCUGAAUGCAGCUUCCUGAGAAGGGAGUGCACAGAGAAGGCCUCUUGGGAGGAGGGACAGCAGCAUCCACAGGGGGCAGACUCCUUGGCUUUGACUGGACAGAAGAGGGUCCAUUGAUGGGUCUUCUGGCAGCCUGGCUCUUGGAGCUCUUGAGGAGAAGGGGCAAGCUCUCUUGAGGGAAUUUCUGUCCAGGACAGCUCGCACCCCAAGACAGGACAGCCCAACAAUGCUCACAGAGCUUCCCUCCUGGAUUCCGUGGAGUCACUGGACACACAGGGAGUUUCAGCCAUCAGAUCACUGCCAAUUCUGAACAAAGUGAGAAAGCAUUUCCAAGGCGAGAUGGGCAGCUACUCAAGCUGACUCCAUGAAGAGACCCAGGAGGCCCUUCUGGCAUGAGCAUCCACUCAGCUCUUAUCCCCUGCUCCAUGUACACACCAAGCCCUUGCCCCGGGCACCUUUGAGUGGCUCUCAUCAUGGUGCUCCCUCCAGAGAGUCUGUCUAGAACAUCAUCACCAUUUUCAUUUGGGGCAGCUCUUGAAGGCACAAGUGAAGCGUCAUUCAAGAAUUUAGAUUCCAAUGGAUUUUGGUUGUUUAAAAAGAGCAGCAAUGCUGGAGCUACGCAGACAGUCAUGCUCCCCUGAGCCCUAAGGUGGUGGAGAGGAGGCGAGAGGCUGCAUCCAGACACUGAAGCCCAACAAGCCGCAGGGCAGAAGC